CCUACGGGUGGCUGCAGUGGGGAAUAUUGCACAAUGGGCGCAAGCCUGAUGCAGCCAUGCCGCGUGUGUGAAGAAGGCCUUCGGGUUGUAAAGCACUUUCAGCGGGGAGGAAGGCGUUAAGGUUAAUAACCUUGUCGAUUGACGUUACCCGCAGAAGAAGCACCGGCUAACUCCGUGCCAGCAGCCGCGGUAAUACGGAGAGUGCAAGCGUUAAUCGGAAUUACUGGGCGUAAAGCGCACGCAGGCGGUCUGUCAAGUCGGAUGUGAAAUCCCCGGGCUCAACCUGGGAACUGCAUUCGAAACUGGCAGGCUAGAGUCUUGUAGAGGGGGGUAGAAUGCCAGGUGUAGCGGUGAAAUGCGUAGAGAUCUGGAGGAAUACCGGUGGCGAAGGCGGCCCCCUGGACAAAGACUGACGCUCAGGUGCGAAAGCGUGGGGAGCAAACAGGAUUAGAUACCCUGGUAGUC
rnacentral:rRNA from 1 species